rnacentral:rRNA from 1 species
AUUCAUGUCAAAAAUUAAAAACUGGACAGUAAAAACAAUAGUUUAAAAUCUAAAGAUCUUGGCGGUGCUUUCAUCCUAUCAGGGGAACCUGUUCCUUAAUUCGAUAAUCCACGAAUAAUCAUCCCACCCCUAGAAAUUCCAGCCUGUGUACUGCCGUCCAAAGCAUACUUCUAAGAAGUAUACAACCAUAAUAUUAACUUACUAUACAUGUCAGGUCAAAGUACAGCUCAUGGGGUGGAGGUAAUGGGUUACAACCAUAAUAUAGACACCAAAUCAAGCUCAAAAACUUGAAAUAAAGGCGGACUUGACAGUAAUAGCUAGAAUAUAAAUCAGCUAUGAAAAAAAUCU